AUUGAACGCUGGCGGCAGGCCUAACACAUGCAAGUCGAACGAGUGGCGGACGGGUGAGUAAUGUCUGGGAAACUGCCUGAUGGAGGGGGAUAACUACUGGAAACGGUAGCUAAUACCGCAUACCAUCGGAUGUGCCCAGAUGGGCUUAGCUAGUUGGUGGGGUAAAGGCGCACGUAGGCGACGAUCCCUAGCUGGUCUGAGAGGAUGACGGGCCACACGGGAACGUGGACACGGUCCAGACUACUACGGGAGGCAGCAGUGGGGAAUAUUGCACAAUGGGCGCAAGCCGGAUGCAGCCAUGCCGCGUGUAUGAAGAAGGCCUUCGGGGUGUAAAGUACGUUCAGCGGGGAGGCGUUACCCGAAGAAGAAGCACCGGCUAACUCCGUGCCAGCAGCCGCGGUAAUUC
rnacentral:rRNA from 1 species